UGUCACUCACAGUUGACUUUGGUAGCCCAGCAGCUUCCUGUCUCACACGCAGGGCUGGCGCGCAGGACGCUCCUCUGCAGACACUUGGUAUGGAAGAAAUUCUAGUGUUGAUCCUUCUGUAUCUUCCUUUUGACCUUUGGAAAGAAAACAAGAUAUUCAAAAGGAACUCUGAAACCAUGGCUUCACCUCACAGAGCAUGAAGUUUCUUUUCUUCUCUUUCUUUCCCUAAAGGCCACAGAUACUAGUUCGGCUGCAGCUCGCGCAAGACAGCCCUGAAAGCUAGGGCUUGGAAAACGGGACCUGGAACCAAGUCUCCCUCGGUUGGAAACCUCGCUCCCCUGGCGUCCUCCGCAAUCAGCGUACAGAAUGGAUUUCAGAUCAAGAUCCCCAAAGUGGCGAGCAUCUGCCAGGGUACGAGACAGGGCUUCAAGCAGGCUUGUAGCCUUUCUACCCAUGCGAGAAUCUCUUGUUCGAAGUGGAAACAAGUGGAAAACCAAAAACUGAGCAAAAAGAAAGCGGCAACGCCGGUCUGGCGCCGAGCAGAGCUCCCUCUGGGGGAACCAGGUGCCUGGCGCCCUCAG